rnacentral:misc_RNA from 1 species
AAGUCGUAACAAGGUUUCCGUAGGUGAACCUGCGGAAGGAUCAUUACUGAAGCAUUUGCAAUGGAUUUGUUGCUGCCUCGCAAGAGUAGAAUUGUGCACGCCAUUCAAUCUUCUAUUUACCACCUGUGCACCUUUCAUAGGCUAUGAAUAAAUGUCUCACUGUAAAAAGUGGAUCUGAGGCUUGUGUUUAGCUUGCCUUCAAAUGUAUUCAUGGCUUAUGUUUUUUAUACACACUUUUUGAUUUUUGAAUGUAUUGUUUUAUGGAUCUUUAUCCAUAUAAAUGUAAAUACAACUUUCAGCAACGGAUCUCUUGGCUCUC